GACAGAGGGGGCAAGCGUUGCUCGGAAUUACUGGGCGUAAAGGGCGCGUAGGCGGGAUGGCAAGUCGGUCGUGAAAUCCCUCGGCUCAACCGAGGAACGUCGAUCGAUACUGCUGUUCUUGAGGAUUGCAGAGGAGACUGGAAUUCCCGGUGUAGCGGUGAAAUGUGUAGAGAUCGGGAGGAACACCGGUGGCGAAGGCGGGUCUCUGGGCAAUUCCUGACGCUGAGGCACGAAGGCCAGGGGAGCAAACGGG
rnacentral:rRNA from 1 species